rnacentral:rRNA from 2 species
AUGCUGGAGGUAUCAGAAGUGCGAAUGCUGACAUAAGUAACGAUAAAGCGGGUGAAAAGCCCGCUCGCCGGAAGACCAAGGGUUCCUGUCCAACGUUAAUCGGGGCAGGGUGAGUCGACCCCUAAGGCGAGGCCGAAAGGCGUAGUCGAUGGGAAACAGGUUAAUAUUCCUGUACUUGGUGUUACUGCGAAGGGGGGACGGAGAAGGCUAUGUUGGCCGGGCGACGGUUGUCCCGGUUUAAGCGUGUAGGCUGGUUUUCCAGGCAAAUCCGGAAAAUCAAGGCUGAGGCGUGAUGACGAGGCACUACGGUGCUGAAGCAACAAAUGCCCUGCUUCCAGGAAAAGCCUCUAAGCAUCAGGUAACAUCAAAUCGUACCCCAAACCGACACAGGUGGUCAGGUAGAGAAUACCAAGGCGCUUGAGAGAACUCGGGUGAAGGAACUAGGCAAAAUGGUGCCGUAACUUCGGGAGAAGGCACGCUGAUACGUAGGUGAAGUCCCUCGCGGAUGGAGCUGAAAUCAGUCGAAGAUACCAGCUGGCUGCAACUGUUUAUUAAAAACACAGCACUGUGCAAACACGAAAGUGGACGUAUACGGUGUGACGCCUGCCCGGUGCCGGAAGGUUAAUUGAUGGGGUUAGCGCAAGCGAAGCUCUUGAUCGAAGCCCCGGUAAACGGCGGCCGUAACUAUAACGGUCCUAAGGUAGCGAAAUUCCUUGUCGGGUAAGUUCCGACCUGCACGAAUGGCGUAAUGAUGGCCAGGCUGUCUCCACCCGAGACUCAGUGAAAUUGAACUCGCUGUGAAGAUGCAGUGUACCCGCGGCAAGACGGAAAGACCCCGUGAACCUUUACUAUAGCUUGACACUGAACAUUGAGCCUUGAUGUGUAGGAUAGGUGGGAGGCUUUGAAGUGUGGACGCCAGUCUGCAUGGAGCCGACCUUGAAAUACCACCCUUUAAUGUUUGAUGUUCUAACGUUGACCCGUGAUCCGGGUUGCGGACAGUGUCUGGUGGGUAGUUUGACUGGGGCGGUCUCCUCCUAAAGAGUAACGGAGGAGCACGAAGGUUGGCUAAUCCUGGUCGGACAUCAGGAGGUUAGUGCAAUGGCAUAAGCCAGCUUGACUGCGAGCGUGACGGCGCGAGCAGGUGCGAAAGCAGGUCAUAGUGAUCCGGUGGUUCUGAAUGGAAGGGCCAUCGCUCAACGGAUAAAAGGUACUCCGGGGAUAACAGGCUGAUACCGCCCAAGAGUUCAUAUCGACGGCGGUGUUUGGCACCUCGAUGUCGGCUCAUCACAUCCUGGGGCUGAAGUAGGUCCCAAGGGUAUGGCUGUUCGCCAUUUAAAGUGGUACGCGAGCUGGGUUUAGAACGUCGUGAGACAGUUCGGUCCCUAUCUGCCGUGGGCGCUGGAGAACUGAGGGGGGCUGCUCCUAGUACGAGAGGACCGGAGUGGACGCAUCACUGGUGUUCGGGUUGUCAUGCCAAUGGCACUGCCCGGUAGCUAAAUGCGGAAGAGAUAAGUGCUGAAAGCAUCUAAGCACGAAACUUGCCCCGAGAUGAGUUCU